rnacentral:rRNA from 2 species
AAGUUGUUGCGGUUAAAAAGCUCGUAGUUGGAUCUGUGUGACACGCUGUCGGUUCACCGUUUUGAUGGUGUUUAACUGACAUGUCGUGGCACGUCCUGCCGGUUGGUAACGUGUUCUCCUUCGGGAGUGAUGCGUUUGCCAGUUCCAAUCCUGUCGCGGUGCUCUUCACCGAGUGUCGAGGCGGGCCGGCACGUUUACCUUGAACAAAUUUGAGUGCUUAAAGCAGGCUUAUAUUGCCGGAAAACUGUGUGCAUGGAAUAAUAUAAUAGGACUUCGGUUCUAUUUUGUUGGUUUUCAGAAUCCGAGGUAAUGAUUAAAAGGGCCUGGCGGGGGCAUUAGUAUUGCGACGUGAGAGGUGAAAUUCUUGGACCGUCGCAAGACUAACUGGAGCGAAAGCGUUUGCCAAGAAUGCUUCCAUUAAUCAAGAACGAAAGUUAGAGGUUCGAAGGCGAUCAGAUACCGCCCUAGUUCUAACCAUAAAUGAUGCCAGCCAGCGAUCCGUCGUCGCUCUUUUAUGACGCGACGGGCAGCUUCAGGGAAACUAAAGCUUUUGGGUUCCGGGGGAAGUAUGGUUGCAAAGCUGAAACUUAAAGGAAUUGACGGAAAGGCACCACCAGGAGUGGAGCCUGCGGCUUAAUUUGACUCAACACGGGAAAUCUCACCAGGCCAGAACACCAGGUGGAUUGACAGAUUGAGAGCUCUUUCUUGAUUUGGUGGG